rnacentral:rRNA from 1 species
CUGGCGGCGUGCCUAAUACAUGCAAGUCGAGCGAACAGAUAAGGAGCUUGCUCCUUUGACGUUAGCGGCGGACGGGUGAGUAACACGUGGGUAACCUACCUAUAAGACUGGGAUAACUUCGGGAAACCGGAGCUAAUACCGGAUAACAUUUGGAACCGCAUGGUUCUAAAGUGAAAGAUGGUUUUGCUAUCACUUAUAGAUGGACCCGCGCCGUAUUAGCUAGUUGGUAAGGUAACGGCUUACCAAGGCGACGAUACGUAGCCGACCUGAGAGGGUGAUCGGCCACACUGGAACUGAGACACGGUCCAGACUCCUACGGGAGGCAGCAGUAGGGAAUCUUUUNNNAUGGGGGAAAGNGGCACGGAGCAACGCCGCGUGAGUGAUGAAGGGUUUCGGCUCGUAAAACUCUGUUAUUAGGGAAGAACAAACGUGUA